GACGUACUCUCUCCGUUCGAAAAAGCUUGUCCCAAGUUUGUCCCUCAAAUGGAUAUAUCUAACACCAAAGUUAGUGAUAGAUACAUCUAUUUAAGGGACAAGUUUUUUUGAACGGAGGGAGUAGUUA
rfam:Triticum aestivum genome assembly, contig: Triticum_aestivum_CS42_TGACv1_scaffold_249832_3DL